rnacentral:lncRNA from 1 species
GCCAGAACCAGCUUACUAAUAAUGAGAACAAUGUCUUACAACAGACCAGUUCAUUCACAAACCAUCCUUUAGCCAAAGCUUUGAGAAAAAGUCUCCCUAAGAAAAAGAAUGACAAAUGUUAUGGCACUGUCUAAAAGCACUUAAAGAAUCCAGAGGAAGAAUGUUCCAAAAAUCCGCAGCAAGACUAAAUAUUUGGGGUGUGAUGUGUGACAAUCAAGAGCCUUAAAAGAAGUGUUUAGUCUUCAGUACACACUUGAUAUGAGGCAACCAAAAAAAAUACUUGAUCUACCAACAACAUAUGAGGUGGAGAAAGCUCUGCUAUUAUCAGCCACAGGAAACAUAGUAGACCAUCAUUCACUUCAAUUUGCAUGAGUUAAGAGCCCAGCUGGUGGUGAGGAAUGAAGGAGCAGGGAUAGUACUACAGAGGACAAAGAAGAAAAUAAAGGUGAAAUCCCUCCUUUCUUACAUACUACGUCAUCCUUUCUACUGAGUUCCUAACCAUUCUCUUCACACCUUUCAGUGGCCCUGUCCUAUCACUAAAGCCAAUGCUUUGUCUCAAGAAAUCAGUGAGCUGUGGCCAACUGGAAUAAUUUUUGUCCUCUAAAACACAAAGGAAGUCGUACAUAGCUCCUUUUCCUACAGGAAAAACAACAUGGUAUAAUGGAAGAAGAACAUAUUCUAAAAUAAGGUGAGCUUCUGGUGAGCUUCUGUUUCAAUCUCAGUUGUGAAGCUUUUUAUCUGUAUGACCCUGUUUUCUCAUCUGUAAAACAGUUAACUACCUCAUAAGGUAGCUGAGUACCAAAAACGUACUGUAGCAAGAAAUCAAGAGACUGCCUUUACACUUUUCAUGCGCCUCAUAUACAGUAAGGGAAAAAAACAAAAACAAACAAACAAAAAAACUCAGGAUCAGUACCCCAAACCCUUGGAACACAGGCUCUCAAACUUUUCUGACCACAUAGCACAUUUUUCACUGUGACCCAGUACAUACACACAUACAAUCACACACACAACUGAAGUUUCACAAAACAAUACUAUGCUAUGGGUGAUUCAUUCUAAUAUUUUCUAUUUUCUUUUUUUUUUUUUUGUCUGUGGUGACCCUCUACACUGAUUUUAUAAGCCUCAAAUGGGCUGUAAUCUGCAGUUUUAAAAGAAACUACUUUGCACUCUUCUCUCCACCUUUCUCCUCCCAUGCCCUCCUCUCUAAUCACACACAGAAAGCUCUUUUUAGUUUUGUUACCAUUCCACCCUACAGGAGCCCCUAGAAGAGUAUUUCCUAGGAUGCAAACCCCAGCAGGUAGAAGAGAGAUCAGGGAAGAAGGAAACUGUGAGAGUGCUGGGGAGAAUAUGUGCUGCUUCUGGUCCAAGAAGGAAUACUAAAUCUAUUUUCCCUCAGAGACAGAGUUAUUCUUGGGGGUAAAACAAAGUUGUAUUGCUAGACUAAAACACUGGAAGUAAAACAGGAUUGUGGAUUAGUCUAGGAACUUAACCUACAUAUAUAACAAUAAUUCUAUAAGAAAAUGCUCCCGAACAAAGUUUUUUAAACAUAUUUCUAAGGUGGGGGAGGGAUGCCACCUAUACAAUGUCCAAGAGAUUGGCAAACUACAGCCCUCAGGUCAAAAUCCAGUCUGUAUAUAGC